rnacentral:rRNA from 1 species
UACGUAGGGGGCAAGCGUUGUCCGGAUUUAUUGGGCGUAAAGAGCGUGUAGGCGGUAGCACAAGUCAGUUGUGAAAUCUCCGGGCUUAACUCGGAAAGGUCAACUGAUACUGUGCGACUAGAGUGCAGAAGGGGCAACUGGAAUUCUCGGUGUAGCGGUGAAAUGCGUAGAUAUCGAGAGGAACACCUGCGGCGAAGGCGGGUUGCUGGGCUGACACUGACGCUGAGGCGCGAAAGCCAGGGGAGCGAACGGG